rfam:Felis catus isolate Cinnamon breed Abyssinian chromosome B2, whole genome shotgun sequence.
GCCUGGGUGUCUCAGUCGGUUAAGCAUCUGACUUCAGCUCAGGUCAUGAUCUCGCGGUCCGUGGGUUCGAGCCCCAUGUCAGGCU